rnacentral:tRNA from 1 species
AUUUAAAUAGUUUAAAUAAAAUAUUGAUUUGUGGUGUCAAUGAUAUGAUAAUUCAUUUUAAAUC